rnacentral:rRNA from 1 species
AACGAACGCUGGCGGCAGGCCUAACACAUGCAAGUCGAGCGAGGACUUCGGUUCUAGCGGCGGACGGGUGAGUAACGCGUGGGAAUGUGCCCUUCUCUACGGAAUAGCCCUGGGAAACUGGGAGUAAUACCGUAUACGCCCUAUUGGGGAAAGAUUUAUCGGAGAAGGAUCAGCCCGCGUUGGAUUAGGUAGUUGGUGGGGUAAUGGCCUACCAAGCCGACGAUCCAUAGCUGGUUUGAGAGGAUGAUCAGCCACACUGGGACUGAGACACGGCCCAGACUCCUACGGGAGGCAGCAGUGGGGAAUCUUAGACAAUGGGGGCAACCCUGAUCUAGCCAUGCCGCGUGAGUGAUGAAGGCCUUAGGGUUGUAAAGCUCUUUCAGCUGGGAAGAUAAUAACGGUACCAGCAGAAGAAGCCCCGGCUAACUCCGUG